UACACAGCUAUCCUCGAGGACUCUUGGUUCACAUCGAAGUACAGCUGUCCAGGCUAAAAUUCCCUGCAGAAGCGUUGGUGUCGAAACACUUCCGUUGGAAGUGCCAGUGCCCUUUUUAACAUCCACCCCCUUAAAGAGACCACCAAAGAGGCCCCGUGUGGAUCUUGAAGAGGAAUACGAAGAUCCAUUUGAGGGAAGCUCUUCUUUGGUGUUUUCCGAAGGCCAGGAUGCAACUUAUGAUCCAGCAGAAUCCAUAACAAAUGCUACAGAAACAACAGCCAUGUCUGGUCAAGAACAAAACCCCCCCCCAGACGAUCAACACAUACAUCGUGUAUGAGACCUGCCUCAUGGAGCUUUUUGAAUCAUGUCCUGUGUGCAAGCGUGUGUGUGAUGUACAAACCAGAAGGAUCGGUACAUUCAUAUCAGUGCAGCAGCUGUGCCCCCAUUGUCAGUUUACAAGAAACUGGAAUAGCCAGCCUGUUCUUGGGAGUACUCCAGUUGGAAACCUGUAGCUAUCAGUUGCAACAUAUGUCAACGGAGCAUCUUUCUACAAACUUUCAAAGGUCUUCAAAGCAAUGAAUAUGCAGCUAUGCAAAUACAACACCUUCCGAAGGCAUGCCAGGAUGUUCAUUGAGCCAGCGAUUGUUUCUUACUGGCAAAAAUCACAGGAAGGCAUGCUACAGAAGCUCCAUGCAGAGGAGAAAGUGAUAGUUGGUGGUGAUAUGAGGGCUGACUCCCCAGGCCACUCUGCAAAGUUCGGAAGCUACACUAUGAUGGACCUGAAGAACAACAAAGUCGUUGACCUCCAGUUGGUUCAGAGCAAUGAGGUUGGUGGAAGCUACCACAUGGAGUUAGAGGGCCUGAAAAGGAGUCUGGAGUUGUUAAAGGAACGUGGUGUGACUCUGGACUGUAUUGUCACGGACAGACAUCUGCAAAUUCAGAAAUUCCUAAGGGAAAGCAGCAUCACCCAAUUCUUUGAUGUGUGGCACAUAGA